UACGUAGGAGGCAAGCGUUGUCCGGAGUUACUGGGCGUAAAGCGUGUGUAGGCGGUGGUGUUAGUCUGCGGUGAAAUCUCCUGGCUUACCUGGGAGGGGGCCGUAGAAACGGCACGACUUGAGGGCAUCAGAGGCCAGUAGAACUCCCGGUGGACCAGUGAAAUGGGUAGAGAUCGGGAAGAAUACCAGUGGUGCAGACGGCUGGCUGGGGUGUACCUGACGCUGAGACACGAAAGCAUGGGGAG
rnacentral:rRNA from 1 species